rnacentral:lncRNA from 11 species
GUGCACAUGCCAGUAGCCACACAUUCUUUCCAAGCAAGUUCUUAAAGUUGUUUCUUACUCUAGAGGAGACGCUUGGCUGCAUGCUGGCACAUGUGUAUGCCAGCAACCACACACUUUUUCAAGGCAUUUUAAGGAGGCUUCCCACUUCCAGAUUAUAGAAUCCUUCCUCACACUCAAAAUAAUACUCACCAAAUACUUUAAAGAAGAGGAGGAAGAGAACAUGCUGCUGCUGUUGCUGCUACUGCUGAUAAUGUGGAUGACAACUAUGAUGAUGACUUUCCAGUAGACGGGUAAUCCUGGCUGUGCCAGUUAUCCAGAAACAGUUCUGAAACAACAUGCCUUAUUUUUCUUGUUGUUGCUAUCAUCUCACCAUGUUUUGUUACUACUAAGUCCUCUAGAUCCUUUUCACAUUUAUUGCUUUCCAGCCAUGUUUCACUUAUCCUCUAUUUGUGUAUUUCAUUUAUCCUCUUGAAUUUUGGUACCCUGCAUUUAUUUCUGUUGAUAUUCAUUUUAUUAGUUUUGGCCCAACUCUCUACUCUGUCAAAGUCUUUUUGAAAUCUGGAGUAUGCACUAACCUCACCUAUCCC